CCCUGGGGUAGUCGGGACCUAAGCUGAGGCCGAAGAGCAUAGGGGAUGGACAACAGGUUGAUAGUCCUGUAGUCACGAUAACCGGUUGAGAGGAGAGAUUACAAAGUAGGAUAAGCUAAGCAACCUGUUGGUGAUGUGUGCCCAAGCAUUGAGGCAGUCAAAGUAGGCAAAUCCGCUUUGAUAAUGCUGGGAUGUGAUGGGGAGCGAAAUUUAGUAGCGAAGUAGCUGAUUUCACACUGUCAAGAAAAGUCUCUAUCGAGGUUAAAGGUACCCGUACCGCAAACCGACACAGGUG
rnacentral:rRNA from 1 species